rnacentral:rRNA from 1 species
AUUGAACGCUGGCGGCAGGCCUAACACAUGCAAGUCGAACGAGUGGCGGACGGGUGAGUAAUGUCUGGGAAACCGCCUGAUGGAGGGGGAUAACUACUGGAAACGGUAGCUUAUACCGCAUACCAUCGGAUGUGCCCAUAUGGGAAUAGCUAGUGGGUGGGGUAAAGGCUCACCUAGGCGACGACCCCUAGCUGGUGUGAGAGGAGGACCACCCACACUGGAACUGAGACACGGUCCAAACUCCUACGGGAGGCAGCAGUGGGGAAUAUUGCACAAGGGGCGCAAGCCUGAUGCAGCCAGGCCGCGUGUAUGAAGAAGGCCUUCGGGUUGUAAAGUACUUUCAGCGGGGAGGCGUUACCCGCAGAAGAAGCACCGGCUAACUCCGUGCCAGCAGCCGCGGUAAUUC